GUUUCUAUGCCCUGCUGCAGUAGUGUAAUAAAUAAGAACAACACAUGAAAUAUGAGGUUUCUGGCUCUUUGAUUUAUUAAAUGGGACUCAGUGACAUUUUCUUCCAUGCCAUAAUGUGCAAUGAUUCAUUUAUUCUCCACCACUAAUUUUUAAUGUUGCAAAAGACGUCAAUUGUUUGCUUGACAUUUCUCUUUUGGGUUACAUUUGGGCCGCUAAAAAAAAAAAAAAUAUCAUGGUGCGUGACGGAAACAAAAAGUUACGUAUGCUACCUCUCACCAUGUACACGUGUGCGUGUGUGUGCGGGGGUGGGUGCGUGUGUGUGUGUGUAUUAGGCACAAGCACUGCUGAGUUUAUGAGAAGAGAAUCCCAGCACAUUAACUAGUAUUGAUCGAUGUCCCUUCUGGUUUUAUUGCAUGCUUCAGCUCUUUAUUGUCGUGCCAGCUCUUUUGGUUCAACCAUUAAAACCUUUUAGUUACAUUUCUAAAACGACGUUAGGAAUUGCAUAAUGUACACUUUUAGGUUGGCAUGGGCAGCCAGCUGACCAACAUUGGUGCUCUUUUUUUUUUCUUUUUUAAUUUAGCUUUUAAAAAGCCAUUGUACGCUUUCCAUAUGGCUUUGUGUCUCUGAACUACUGGGUUGACUUGAGAACCACAACGAAAUGCCUUCAGAUUGAUGUGUUCAGCAGCUGUGUCUGCUGCCUGCAGAUUGAGUUCAGCGGGUGGAAUCAAAUACUUUCCCCAUCAUUCUUUUUCUGCAGUGAUUUGUAUGUCGCUAUUGCAUUCCUACACACAUGCUCGCUGAUGAUCAACACUAUGUAUUGGUCUUCACUGAUUUAACAAGUGCUUGCAGAAUGCAUGACACAUUUUCUUCCCUCUGCGAUACUGUAGCUUAGAAUACAUAAACAACUUUUCACUUAGCUUCUUAGCUUGGAGACCCGGACCUGCGGCCAUUAAUGAUCCUUUCAACUCCGCACGCAGACUUGUUUCCAAGAAAUUCUAAAGAAGCAUUUCGGCUUGUUACAUAACAGCGCUACUCCCCCUCACACCAACUCCAAGUUAAUUUACGGCCAAGUUCUUGGCCCCUGAUUAUCGUUUCAAGAUGUUUCACAUUGAAAACCAAACACCAAAACAAGUCUUCUGGUUUUACAAGGUGUCUGAUAGUUUUAGGGAAGUUAAGAGAGGGAACACAGAUUAGGUGCAGCAGAAAGGCAAAUGUUGGAGUGCUGGCCUCACUUAUGGCAGGUAUAUAAUCUGGCCCAGUGCACUGGGAUCUUUGUGCUUUUGACUGACAUAUUAACACUUUUUAAAGACCAUGGGCUUUUGCAGGGCUACUGCUUCAUGUGGCUGGUAUGUGAGUGAAUUAACCUCACCAAGAAGCAAGUAACACAUGUUUUUCAAACCCCAAGGAGAAAUGUUACAAUUUAUGAUUUCCUAUUUGCUGCUUCAGGCUCACACAUACUCGGGUGUCCUGUGCAUAUUUUGUGAGCCGUGCAGAUUCUACAUGGAACCCGCGUGCACUGUCCACAGACGGUUGAGAUUUCACGGUCAAGCCUACUGGUUUCCUAUAUUUCUCGUGACAAAUUCCUUCAUUUUCCACAAUUCGACUUAGCUCAACACAGUGACCCUUCCUUACUCAGUGUCUGAGUUAUUAAGUAAAAAUACUAAGUAUUUUGCCUUCUCUGAAAGUCCUUUUGUUCUCUGAUUGAUAUAUCUUGCAAAUUUUUGUUCUAAUUUCUUCAGUCAGACACCCUUCAGAACUGGACUCCAUUUCAUCCACAAGAUGGCACAGAUUCUCAACUUUAUCAGCUCGGUGUUGCACAUGCAACAGUUUGAUGAAAACAUUGUUUCCAGUCAAGCUUUUUGCUAUGGUACGCUCUCGUACACGUACUCAUGGACAUCCAUGAAGUAUGUCAGAGCCUUUAGAAAAUGACAUUUUGAGGUGCCUCACCGCUGAAGUAUAUCUUGUUUGUCCUUUUUCAUUUGUGCUUUUAGGUUAUUAUAAAUUUAUUUUACAUUAGGAACAUAUUCAAAAUGUCUUCAAACACCACUUUUUGUAGUGGUGUUUGAAGACAUUACAAAAAGUGUCUUUUGUAAUGGAAGAUCCGUGCUGCAUUUAUUUCACUUUUUUUUGGAUUAGGGACAAAUAUUGAUUAUGGAAAUGAAAGAUGACCAACAAACAACCGUGGUUAUUUUACAGUGACAUUUGGUAUGUUCACUUAAAGUACUUCUAGUGGCCUAAACAUCCAUAGUCAAUCUUGGAAUGACCCUAAGCAAACAUCGACUAGGUAACAAGAUCCUUUGGUGACAGAAGGCUGGCUACAAAACACCAAACAUCAGUUUUAGUAACUGGAUUUCUUCUAAGUGCAGAUUAAUCUUGAGCCACAGAGCCUAUUGUUGUUUUUAACUAACUAGACAUUGGGGUUUACAGCUUGGCUGGACAUAAGCACAUCUUCUAUUAGUAAUCACCUGUGACUUUCUGAAGAUUUGCUUUCAUUCAUUUUGUGAGAGGGAGUUUCCAGUGUUUGUAUUAUGUUGAAAGAAAAAAGAAGAAAGAAAAAAAAAAAACUCCCAAAGAGAGAAAAUGAAAGACUUUUUAAAAUUGCACCCAGAAUGUUUUCACUCGUAUUGGGAAGGUAUGUCUUUGCCAGAUGUAUGUUGGCAGACAGACAAGGCCUAAAUAGGUGGUCUGGAUUCUGUUUGUAAUACUAAAAAUCCCUACAUGAUGGAGAAGAUUAAAAAAAUAACUACUCUUGAACUGAAAAAAAGUCCUACUUGGUGAAUCUGUUUGUACAAAAGUGUUUUAUGUUCGACUUGAGAGUGAUUUGUCUGUGUGAGCCUGUGCAUGCAAUGCUCUGUUUAUGUUUUCAUAUGAGAGUUGUUUAUGCACUUGCACAGAGAAAAGAGGAAUGCCAGGGGCCCCAACUCUCUCAUGUGAUAGAAAAAGGACAAAGAACAAGGCUAUUUAACAGUCAAAGCACAAAUAAGGUAUUUUAUAUGGAGAGAGAGAUAAACAUGUACAUAACAUAAAUGAAGUUGGCAUAGCGCAAUUAAAGAGGAAGGUAGAAAUAGAAAUACAGCUGAAACUGACUGAAUUUCCAGCAUUGUAGCACCUCUAGCAUUUGCAUUAAGUUAGAAAAGCAGUAGUUUCAAUCUCCUGAGUCUUAUCGCCGUAACUAGACAGUUACCAAAACCAACUAACAUCCUGUUCACAUCACAGAAGGAAGAGUGACAAUCAAACAUUCCUAUCAGAGAAAAGGCACAUGUGCAUUUUUGAGCAAUCGUAAACGUUUUUCCCAUUAGAGACAAAGCGAUGAGUUUUUAAAUUCACUGUAAGUAAUCACAAAAACAGAUUAUAAAAAUACAGAAAUUAUAUCAGAAGGCAUAGUUAUUCAACACCAUGCUAACUCCCCAGCUGCCCAUAUCAGGUCAUAUCAGGUCAGUCUCAGUUAAUAUUUUUGUUAAUAUUUCAAAUGGUAAAAGUAGAAGGCUGUUUGUAAAACACCAUCAGGCUGGUGCUUGGGCCAGACACAGGUUUGAACUUGCUGCUGAUUCUUGUCUGGAUGUGAGGAUAUUUUAAAAAAUGUCCAACUGCUUGAAAAUACUGUUUCCCAUUCACAUUCAACUGCGAAUAAAGUUAGACAGUAGCUGUCAAUCUUACUGCUUGACUGGAUACAUUUUUCUAAUUAGGUAAAAUUAGGUAUUUAAUGAACACCGUAUUGUUUUUGCUGAUUUGAAACAGUCGGGAGGUGUUUAAAAGUUCAGCUGCUCACACUGUUUAACCUCUGGUCAAAACAAUGAAACAGCUCAACUAAAGCAGCUUUAAAUAUGUUCUGGACACAUGUGUGUAUAUGGGAAAAUGAAAAUAUUGAAUUUAAAAAUGUGACACAGUUUGGGAUUAAUGUGAAUUUAUUUAUAUUUCUUUGAUCCACUGACGUCCUUGUCUCAGUCAUUUAAUUCAUCUGGCCAGACGGCUUCGUGUUUGGAACAGACAGUGGUCAGCAUCUGGAGAAGUAGCCCUGGUGUCUGCCUAAAGUUAUGUGGAGAGAAGAGAGGACUGGAAGAUUCAUGUGAAGGGGUGGUAGUUCCAGAGCACUCCUCUAAUACGGUGGGCAUUCAGCAACAGCUGCCACCUUUAAAUGGAAAAAAUGGGCCAUAAAUCUCCAAGGAUUUAGGGUGGAUGGAGAGAGUGACAGAGAACAAAGCCAGGAUAGUGUUUGAUGGAGUAGGACGGAGGAAUAAGUAGAGAAAGGUGAAGGCCAGAAUUUGAUGGAGUGAGGAAAAAGAAGAGAAAAAGGUGGGGAAAGUAUUUGUGAGAAAUACCUGAAGCAGAGACAGAUUAGAAACAAGAGGAGAGCAGAUGAAGACGAAUAGACAGAUGGAGACGUUCUGCGAAGUCAAUGCUGCAGUAGUAGAUUGAACACACAGAACGGAGGCAUAAAAUGGUCGGCAAGUUGGCCGCUUCAGCAAAGUUGGAAAACAGAACGCUAAAGCCAUUUUACCUGCGCUCCUUCACUUCCCCCUUUAUUCCAUUUUCUCAUUUAGGAAAGUACGAAGCCAGCAGGUGUAAAAAAAAAAAAAAAAAAAAAAAGGGCCACUUGCUAUGUGAUUAUUGCACCUUGUUUCCAAGGUGACCGGGUUUAUGUCUUUGGGGAUGGCCUGGCUGCGCAGCAUUCGAGAGUGAAAUAAGGCCAAGACGCACCACCUUCUCACAAGAUGUGGGGAUGUACCGCUAAAGAAGCAUGGCAUAAAACGUAAAAGUUUAUUAUCCAUUUUAGGGUCAGAGUGUUCUGCUCAGUCAAGAUCAAUGUGAACAACCAUUUAUAAAUCUUCUUUCUCUGUCGGCUGGUCUUGUGAUUUACUCAUCAGUAUAUGGCACAAACCCCUCUGCCAGACAUUUACGACUCAGAGGCCUGAAAGUCCCACAAGAUGUGGAGACUAUUAUGGUCUAUUCACACUCGAUUGCCUUUAUGAACUGCCAGCGCCUUCACUUAAAAAAAAAAUAAUAAUGGAAAACAGAUGGAAGGUGGAUAGAAAGUGACACUUGGGAAGAGCAGUGAGUUUUCAAAGCAACAGGAGGUGAAAUUCAGGGGCGAGCACUUAUGAUGUUCAUGUGUUAGGUGGUCAUUGUAAUGGCCAGAUGCUCAAGCUGGACCAAAGGUUGGGAAAAACUGGAACAACAACAGGAAGUGAUGUAAAGAUGUGUUUAGGCACGAGGUCACAACGCCACAAUGUGAAGCCUUAUCAUGGUGGUAACAUUAUCGGGUUGCUGCCAUCAUGUGACUUGGCCUGGUAAAGUAAGCUCAAGCUAUUUUUAUGAGACCUGGAAAUGAAUGUGAGAAACUGUAUCCUUACGUUUGACAGACUUUCAUUUGGAGUAAGAGAGUAGGCAAUUAUUCUCAGUUUGACCUGUUGUCUUCACAGAGUCAGUUAAUAAAUACUUUGGUGAGCUGAUUGACAGCAAAGGCAUUGAAUAUGACCCAACAUUCGGCAGAAACAGACAAAGAUACAUAAAGACAGAGAAGACAUAAAUAAUUUGCAAUCACCGUGAGAAAAACGUUUGAUAUCUUACAACAAGAAGUUGGUCUCUGCUUCAGAGCUUCCUAUAAGUUUUAGACGGUUUUUUAAAAAUAUAUUCGGACCACAUCCGAUCAACCCUAGUUUAAAUCCAAAGUAUUUCGACUAAUCGAAGUUGAACUGAAUGAUUCUACACUGAAUGGAGAUUCUUCAAAAUACAGUUUAGGAUUUAUGUAACCAUUAUUCUAUGCAAAUUGCAAUGCUUUUUGGCAUUAAAAUAUGACAACCACCAACACCACAAAAAGUUGCUCUGUCAAAUCUGCACAGGAGCAUUGCUAAGUGAUUGCAUUAUUACUUCCUCGCAUCUUGUUAAAUUAAUCUCUCUUACUGUUUUUGUGAACCCAAUAUCGAGUUUUGUCCCAUUUGGUGAGCUGAAUGUACCCCUAGUUGCAAAACAGGUAGGUAUCAAAACAUAAAGUUUGGUGACGUUUUGUCUAUUUUUCCACACAAUUGUUUUUUUUCAACAUUUAUGACUGCAUGUCAUAUCCCACAUGAUCGUACGCUUUAUUAUGAACAAGUGAACGGGACAGAGCUGAGAUUUGUAUUUUGGGAUGGUAAGAAAAAAAGCAUGAUGCAACAGCUGUUUGGUUGGGUCAUGUAAUGCAAUGUUUACUGCUUGUUUCAUAAUUGGUUACUCUAUUAUAUUUUUAUGGUGUAAAGUACUUUGAAUUGUCUUGUUGCUGAAAUGUGUUAUAAACUAAAGCUUGCCUUUUUUGUUUGCUUUUUUUUUUUACUGUGAGUUAAACCUCAAAGAAAGUUUUACUGAUCCCCUCAUUCAUCCCCACAUGUUGCUAAUCGCACUGGGGUUGAAACCAGCUUUUGUUUUCACACGAGCAAUUAAGGGCCAAUGAGGAGAGUAAUGAAUGUAACCACAGAGUCCAAUACUGUCUUUCUGAAAGACUGUAAAUAACUUUCACAAAUUUGCCUGCAGAUCUGCACAGCCAUUGCCUAUCUAAAUAUCUAAACUCUCUUAAUUGGACAAGCUUUGCUCUUGAUUUGUUUACAUGAACAUGUUUGAUACUUUUAAUUCUUAAUGUAUCAGUUUACAGGUUCACAGUGUGUCCCCACAGCAUUUCAAUCUGGAACACACACCAGUACCAACACCCCCACACCCGCCCACGCACACACACACAAAGUUUAUCUCAUCGUCCUCCAGACACUUUUUCUGAAGCAGUCCUGCCCUGACAUCCUCAAGGGAAUGUCGCUAAGCCGGAAAAACCUCUACAGUUGCUCUCAGUUGGUCUACACAUAGCCACUGAGGCCAGAAAAGAGAGCAGUAGUGGCAGCUUAGUUAAUUCCAACAUUGUGCUGAUGGUGUGAUCACGGAGUCGGCAUGGAUACAAGAUGAAGACGAAGCAAACAACUGGUUCUGCAGCACUUGGUCAGGUGAAGCAGAGUUUCAUGUGUCUUGUAGCCCGGACUCUCAUUCAUCACACCCCACUGAGAAAGCCCACAGUGGAAUCCGGCGUGGCAAUCGACCAACUCCGUGGUCCAGUCAAAGGCAACCACAUGUGUUCCUUCCAGCUCUCCCUGACACACACACCUCAUCCUGAAAAAGUCCAGAUCGCAACGCAAUGAAAGCGCCGCCACACCAGAGAAGAGGAGCGCCGUUUCAGUGGCCGUGUGGUUUUGUCGUAAAGAGGCGCUGCCAAAGAGUUAGCUCAGGUGUUCUGCCCUGAGGUGAACCGCACAAAUGUUUGGAUGUAAAUGUCACCGAAAUUUCAGAACACUCGCUCUACAUUACAAUCAGACAUUUGUGUGGAAGUGGAUGCAAAUUAGGGGAAUGUAAGUAGCAGCAGCUGUGACUUCUUACCCUCUUGUACAAUCAAAUGGACACACAGGGGACUCACUGAGAUUUGGUGUUGAUUAUGGAGGCUUAAACUGGUAGGUUGAGGAGAGCAUAUCAGAAACUGAUGACCUUUAGAAGUGGUCUGCCAAGAUGCAGAGUGGAGCUUUUUUAAUAGAUUUGCAUAAAACUGCAUUUAACAACCCUGCAUUCUCUGGAUAGUUUGAACUUUUAAUCCAUCUUCAGUUUUUUUUGUGUUUUGUUUUUUUUUUUUGUUGCUGAAAAUAAAUGUUACUUUUUUUCCCCCAAGUCUGUCUUUGUCUGUGCAGACAAAUAGGACUGGAUUUA